rnacentral:rRNA from 1 species
AUUGAACGCUGGCGGCAUGCCUUACACAUGCAAGUCGAGCGGCAGCGCGGGGGCAACCCUGGCGGCGAGCGGCGGACGGGUGAGUAAUGCAUCGGAACGUGUCCUCUUGUGGGGGAUAACCAGUCGAAAGACUGGCUAAUACCGCAUGAGCUCGUAAGAGGAAAGCAGGGGACCCGCAAGGGCCUUGCGCGAGAGGAGCGGCCGAUGCCCGAUUAGCUAGUGGUGGGGUAAAAGCCUACCAAGGCGACGAUCGGUAGCUGGUCUGAGAGGACGACCAGCCACACUGGGACUGAGACACGGCCCAGACUCCUACGGGAGGCAGCAGUGGGGAAUUUUGGACAAUGGGGGAAACCCUGAUCCAGCCAUGCCGCGUGUGUGAAGAAGGCCU